rnacentral:tRNA from 1 species
GGGUCGUUAACUCAGUCGGUAGAGUAUCUGCCUUUUAAGUAGAGAGUCACUGGUUCGAGUCCAGUACGACCCACCA